AAUCAACGCUGGCGGCGUGCCUCAGACAUGCAAGUCGAACGCGAAAGUUCCCUUCGGGGAGCAAGUAGAGUGGCGCACGGGUGAGUAACACGUAGGUAAUUUGCCUUCGGGUGGGGAAGUAACAGUCGGAAACGACUGCUAAUACCGCAUAAUGCAGCGGCUCGACAUCGAGACAGUUGUUAAAGCGGGGGAUCCUUCGGGACCUCGCGCCUGAAGAGAAGCCUGCGGCAGAUUAGCUAGUUGGUGAGGUAAUGGCCCACCAAGGCUACGAUCUGUAACCGGCCUGAGAGGGCGGUCGGUCACACUGACACUGACAUACGGGUCAGACUCCUACGGGAGGCAGCAGUCGGGAAUUUUGGGCAAUGGGCGCAAGCCUGACCCAGCAACGCCGCGUGAAGGAU
rnacentral:rRNA from 1 species